rnacentral:rRNA from 1 species
CCUACGGGGGGCAGCAGUGGGGGAUAUUGGACAAUGGGGGGAACCCUGAUCCAGCGACGCCGCGUGAGUGAAGAAGUAUUUCGGUAUGUAAAGCCCUGUCAGCAGGGAAGAAAGCAAUGACGGUACCUGACCAAGAAGCCCCGGCUAACUACGUGCCAGCAGCCGCGGUAAUACGUAGGGGGCAAGCGUUAUCCGGAAUUACUGGGGGUAAAGGGAGCGUAGAGGGCUGUGCAAGUCUGGAGUGCAAGGCGGGGGCUCAACCCACGGACUGCUCUGGAAACUGUAUGGCUGGAGUGCAGGAGAGGUAAGCGGAAUUCCGGGUGUAGCGGUGAAAUGGGUAGAUAUGAGGAGGAACACCAGUG